GACGAACGCUGGCGGCGUGCUUAACACAUGCAAGUCGAACGGUGAAGCUCCAGCUUGCUGGAGUGGAUCAGUGGCGAACGGGUGAGUAACACGUGAGCAACCUGCCCCUGACUCUGGAAUAAGCGCUGGAAACGGCGUCUAAUACUGGAUACGAGAAGGGUCCGCAUGGGCACUUUCUGGAAAGUUUUUCGGUUGGGGAUGGGCUCGCGGCCUAUCAGCUUGUUGGUGAGGUAAUGGCUCACCAAGGCGACGACGGGUAGCCGGCCUGAGAGGGCGACCGGCCACACUGGGACUGAGACACGGCCCAGACUCCUACGGGAGGCAGCAGUGGGGAAUAUUGCACAAUGGGCGAAAGCCUGAUGCAGCGACGCCGCGUGAGGGAUGACGGCCUUCGGGUUAUAAACCUCUUUCAGCAGGGAAGAAGCGAAAGUGACGGUACCUGCAGAAGAAGCACCGGCUAACUACGUG
rnacentral:rRNA from 1 species